rnacentral:rRNA from 1 species
AGCGAACGCUGGCGGCAGGCCUAACACAUGCAAGUCGAACGAACCUUUCGGGGUUAGUGGCGGACGGGUGAGUAACACGUGGGAACGUGCCUUUAGGUUCGGAAUAACUCAGGGAAACUUGUGCUAAUACCGAAUGUGCCCUUCGGGGGAAAGAUUAAUCGCCUUUAGAGCGGCCCGCGUCUGAUUAGCUAGUUGGUUGAGGUAAUGGCUCACCAAGGCGACGAUCAGUAGCUGGUCUGAGAGGAUGAUCAGCCACAUUGGGACUGAGACACGGCCCAAACUCCUACGGGAGGCAGCAGUGGGGAAUCUUGCGCAAUGGGCGAAAGCCUGACGCAGCCAGGCCGCGUGAAUGAUGAAGGUCUUAGGAUUGUAAAAUUCUUUCACCGGGGACGAUAAUGACGGUACCCGGAGAAGAAACCCCGGCUAACUUCGU